UGCAAGUCGAGCGAUGAAGUUUCUUCGGAAAUGGAUUAGCGGCGAACGGGUGAGGAACACGUGAAGAAUCUGCCCUCCACUUUGGGAUAACACCGGGAAACCGGUGCUAAUACUGAAUAUUGAAACAUAAGUGGCAUCACUGAGUUUUGAAAGUUUUUCGGUUGAAGAUGACCUCGCGGCCUAUCAGCUUGUUGGUGAGGUAAUGGCUCACCAAGGCGACGACGGGUAGCCGGCCUGAGAGGGCGACCGGCCACACUGGGACUGAGACACGGCCCAGACUCC
rnacentral:rRNA from 1 species